AUUGAACGCUGGCGGCAGGCCUAACACAUGCAAGUCGAGCGGAGCGGCGGACGGGUGAGUAAUGCCUAGGAAUCUGCCUGGUAGUGGGGGAUAACGUCCGGAAACGGGCGCUAAUACCGCAUACUAUCAGAUGAGCCUAGGUCGGAUUAGCUAGUUGGUGGGGGAAAGGCCUACCAAGGCGAAGAUCCGUAACUGGUCUGAGAGGAUGAUCAGGCACACUGGGACUGUGACGCGGUCCAGACUCCGCAGAGAGGCAGCAGUGGUGAAUAUUGGACAAUGGGCGAAAGCCUGAUCCAGCCAUUCCGCGUGUGUGAAGAAGGUCUUCGGAUUGUAAAGCACUUUAAGUUGGGAGGCUUUGCAAACAGAAUAAGCACCGGCUAACUUCGUGCCAGCAGCCGCGGUAAUUC
rnacentral:rRNA from 1 species